GCUUCCUUAGCUCAGCCGGUCAGAGCGCUCGCUUCACAUGCGAGAGGUCGUGGGUUCGAGCCCCGCAGGAAGCACCA
rnacentral:tRNA from 1 species